rnacentral:rRNA from 1 species
GAUGAACGCUGACAGAAUGCUUAACACAUGCAAGUCUACUUGAAUUUGGGUUUUUUAACUUAGAUUUGGGUGGCGGACGGGUGAGUAACGCGUAAAGAACUUGCCUCACAGCUAGGGACAACAUUUGGAAACGAAUGCUAAUACCUGAUAUUAUGAUUAUAAGGCAUCUUAGAAUUAUGAAAGCUAUAUGCGCUGUGAGAGAGCUUUGCGUCCCAUUAGCUAGUUGGAGAGGUAACGGCUCACCAAGGCGAUGAUGGGCAGCCGGCCUGAGAGGGUGAACGGCCACAAGGGGACUGAGACACGGCCCUUACUCCUACGGGAGGCAGCAGUGGGGAAUAUUGGACAAUGGACCAAGAGUCUGAUCCAGCAAUUCUGUGUGCACGAUGACGUUUUUCGGAAUGUAAAGUGCUUUCAGUUGGGAAGAAAAAAAUGACGGUACCAACAGAAGAAGUGACGGCUAAAUACGUG